GUCUCUUUAAAAAGAUUUUUUAAAUUAGAAAUAAUGAAAAAAUUUGGCAGAUGUAUAUGUACUCAGAAGCGUAAGUAUAUUCAUUGGACUAGAAAAUUAGCAGUCCCUGUUUAACCGACGCUACUCUUCACAUUUUGCUUACCUUUGGAAUAUUUAUUGAUAGUGCUUUCUAGCACUUUGUGUAUGUGUGUGUGUGUGUGUGUAGAGUUAACAUAGCUUGCUUUGUGUGAAUAUGAGUUUUAAUACUAUUCUUUGCUUAUGAUAACCUUCAGGAUUCCUGGAAGCAGUUUUCAGUAUACACUGUCUCUUCAUUGGGCCUUUGUGAUCGCAGCCUGCCUUUGCACCUUCACAGCCAUUGUUCUACCUGUGUGUGCAGGUGCGUGCCAGUGCCAGGAGUUGCUGUUGUAGACAGACCCAUGUGGCAUUGGAUUCAGAUCCUGGCUCUGCCUUUUACUCGGAUGUUGGGCAAGUUAUUUGACCUCUGUGAGCCUCAUUAUAUUCAUCUGUAUUUCCAUUUUUUGUCCUAUUGUUAGGCCAUAUGUCAGCUGUGUCCUGAUUUUUAUAUUUAGGAAAUAUGUUCUUGCCAUGCAUCAUGAUCUGUGUUAAAAGCGAUUGGGGCCGAAAGAGAAAUCCAGAUACAAUUUCUGAUAGUAAUGUUCUUCCAGUCUUUUGGGAGGAUAACAGACGGACUUAAAUAACACCACCAGUUUUAUUGACCAUGCUGUUUAUUUUAAUAGGCCAGAAUGGUUUGAUUGACUUUUGAAAAAUCUGGUAUUUUUUUUUGCCAUAUGGGCAAGGCCAUAUCUGGAGUGCCAAGCUAAUAGGCCUUCUUUUCUUUGCCAGUGAACCAUGAAAGUUGUUAGCAAAAUGUUUUAUCUUGAAUUGAUCCAUUUUCCGAGCUCUUGGUGAUAUACACACGCAUCUAAAGGGAUAAAGUACAGAUUGUCUUUCAUCAGUCAUUGGAAAUUUGUUGCAUCAAAGAACUGCGGGCAACUGGUAUGUGACGUGAUCUAGAAAGGAAUGUACAUAGUGUGGUUGCGGCUGCCUAAAAAUGUGUAGGACUACCGUAAGGCAGUCAACUAGGGGCACAAAGUACAGGUUAUGUUGUUUUGAAUGAUGUUGUAAUGGUUAAAU